rnacentral:rRNA from 1 species
AGCGAAAUUCAUUGUCGAGUAAGUUUCGACCUGCACGAAAGGCGUAAUGAUCUUGGCGCUGUCUCGGAGAGAGGCUCGGUGAAAUAGACUUGUCCGUGAAGAUGCGGACUACCUGCACCUGGACAGAAAGACCCUAUGAAGCUUGACUGCAUCUUGGAAUUGGGUUCGGGCUUUUCUUGCGCAGCCUAGGUGGGAGGCGAUGAAGAUUCCCUUCCGGGGGAAUAUGAGCCAUCAUUGAGAGACCACUCUGGAAGAGCUAGAAUCCUAAUGGUGAUCUUUGAAUCAAGACACUUGACAGUUUCAGGUGGGCAGUUUGUCUGGGGCGGAUUCCUUUUAAAGAGUAACAAAGGAGUGCAAAGGUUCCCUCAGUCUGGACGGAAAUCAGACAUUGAGUGUAAAGGCAAAAGGGUGCUUGACUGUAAGACCUACAAGUCAAACAGGGGCGAAAGCCGGCCUUAGUGAUCCGACGAUACCGCGUGGAAGGGUCGUCGCUCAACGGAUAAAAGUUACUCUAGGGAU